CAGGGUUCGUCCAUGUUAUAGACUGAAUGAAUACUUCAUUCAUUUUUAUGGCUGAAUAAUAUUCUGUCUUGUGGACAUGCCUACCACAUUUUACUUAUCUGCUCAUCAGUUGAUGUGCUCAGGGAGGAUUUUAGUACUAAAAAUGAACUGAACUGAACUUGAAACCGAUAGACAGUGAAUAACUUUUUCUGAUUCCUGAGGAGGCUGAACAUGACAAAAUCAGUGGUUUAGGAUGAUGUCUGUGGUGGGUGGGCCAUGAAGAUCUGAUCUGCAGUGAGGCAGAAAUGGGCAUGAUGGAAUUUGGAGAUUGUUCUACGAGAGAGGGGAGAAAGGCCAAGGUCACCCAAGAAAUCUAUGUUCAAGGAGAAAACCUGAACUCUCACUCUCUCCAGCUCUGACCAUAAAGCCAUAAAGCCACAGGCUUACAAAAGCAGCUCAUCCUGAGGGAGGGGAACACCCAGUGAUGGUUUCUACCUUGUCUCAUAUGUCUCCUGGAAGCUCUGUUGAAAAUAAGCCUACCACACUCCUUCCCGGAAUGCUCAUGACUGAUAAUUGCCUUGUGCACAAUUUUCUGCCAAACCCUGUUGUUAAUGAAAUGAUGAUUUAGUUAUCCUUGUCAGUACUAGCCCAAAUUGUACGAGGACCCAUUACUGCAUCUGUGAGGCUGGCAGGAAUGCCCUGCCAAGGCACCUGUGAGCGGUUCCUACAAUGGGCAUUCUCAGCUCAAGCUUGACUGGGGAGUGGAGGCUGCCAGAAGCCAUGGGUGCAGCCUGCUGCCUGGACCCCCGCCCCACAAAUAUCAGAGUUGGAAACACCUAGGAGCAAAGUGAGAAACCAGGCCAGAGCACAACUCUGUUUGUCAAUUUUGACCUGCAAAACCUGGGGCUGCUUCUUGUCAGCAUGUGGGGAAGGGAUGCACUGAAAGACUGUGGUGACAUGUCAGAUUCCCUGAGGUCCAGGGAGAUGCUCAGCUGGCUGGUGGACAUGGGCAUCCUAAACCACCUCCUCAGGUGAUGCCUACAAUAUACCUUUCUUCCCUCCUCCCCAGUCUGCCUGUGGUUUGGGGCUUCCACUCCUUUCCCUGCCCCUGUUCCCAGUACUGCACUCUCCAGCCUUCCUGGACUGCUCAUGCUGGCUGCUUUGCAAGAGAAGAGAGCAGUAGAAAGAAAGGGAGAGAGACAUGGGUAUGGUUGGGGCAACCCCAUGGUUUCUGGUCAAGGCAAAUAUAGACAGAAAUAAAGUUACUUGGCUCACAUGAUGUUCAGUACACCUGUGUGGGCACAGGAGUACGUGUGUGCACAAACACACACACACACACACACACACACACACACACAUUUCCCCUUCUCUUGUCUUCAGGAAUAUUCUGUUUAGGAGUGAGGUCCUCAGGUUUGGAACUAGUCUAUCCGAGUUGUGAUGGAGAAAUGUAGCUCAGCUAGGAGUGUAUUGCAUGCCUUUUUGUGAAGUUAGCAGAACCAGCCUCUCACCUCGGCAAACCGGGUAGUGGAGGCUAUGUGGUGGAGGAGUGCUGGUGUAACUCUGGCCACCAAACCCACAGCAGUGUGUAAUAGAUGCUCAAAACCUGGUUGCAUGCCUAGUCAUUUAUUCUGACUGCCUCCUGCAUUCUCCUCUAAAAAGGUUGUGGCAACUUACAACAGCAUUAAUGAAACAGAUAAGCUGAAUUAUGUGAGAGGAGCAUAUAAUAUAAUAAAACAGAAUAUAAUAAAGUCAGAGGUAAGAUCAGCACCUGGGAAUCUCUCUUUUGUAGCUGAAAAUUUGGCCCUGUGAGUCACAGGGCUUCCUGCUUUUGAUAGUGAGAAGGUGUCAUUGGGGGUCCUGAUAUGGAUGGUGUGUAGGGUCAGAGUGUGGUGCCUUGAUACUAUCCCGGAAGUAGAGAAAGAAAAGACUCCAUGACUGCUUCUGGGGGCACACCUCACAGGAGGUGGGGGUGGGGGGGAGGAUGCCAGCACUCCUGUCAGCACAAGCAACAAAGUAUUGCAGCCCAAAUUAUCCAGCUGGAGCUGAGGGUAAAAUCCCCAUUAUCUAUAGUGGCCAUUUUCAAUGUUUUGUAAAAAGCAGUGGUACCCUUCUACUCCAAUAAAAUCUUGUGCAAGCUCCUCCCAGAAAGAGGAGGAAAAGGAUAGAGAGAGGACUCCUUCCUCACAGCAGAUUUGUGCUGAGCUCAAAAAAGGCACUAGACUAUAGCGUGUCUUGCCUAAAAUCUAUAGUUCUGUUCUCUUGAUGCCAUCUGCUUCCUAGGUGGUGUCAGGGCAUCUCAGGCCCUAUGUAGGGGAUUUUCCAGGGGUCUCCCCCAAAGAUUGUAAGGAGAUUCAUGUGUAAGGGGUUGGUAUUAUGAAGACACAAGGUGAGAGCUACAGCAGAGUGAUGACCACAACCUUCACAUGACAACAGCCUCCACAAUGGCUGUUUACACCUUCUUGGCCCCAUGUUUCCACCUUCCUGACAUCACCUCUAGGGUUCCCAUGCAGUAGGGGGUUAUUUCCCACAGGGGACUUACCAUUUACUCUGAACCACCAAACUCACAAGCUAACCUCCAUGGUACAGACAGUGCCUGUUGUGGGCAAGGGGUGGGUGGAUAGGGGCGUCUGUGGCAGAGAAGGUGCCUGCCAUAAAGAGGGAAGAUGGAGGUGAAGGAGAAAGCAUGGCCGCAUCCAAGAAGUGAAAACGGGUGUGGGUGUGUCAGGAAGGGUGAGGAGACCAGAUGGAUGCACAUUUUGACUUGAUUCUAUAGGAAAUGCCAUGUGACGCAUGACCAAGAAGGACUUGUCUUCUGUUUAGGACCCAGCUAGGAAACAUCCCCAGGCAGAGGGAAGGGCAGGAGCAGUGUGAGUGUCUGCAGCAGCUCCUGCGAAUGUACAUGAAUACAGCUGAGCAUGUGUGGCCAGCCGCAUCUCUAAACCAAAUCCUUCUGGUGGGGAUUAUCCAUUACUUUCUCUAGUUCUUCAAGUCCCUUAAUCCUCUAGGCUCUGAGCAUGGAUAAUCCAGGGUUUACAUAGACCUGAUUUUUCACAAGCCUUUGCAAGACCACUGUGUACUAUCUUCCUGGAGGAGAAACUGAGGCUAUAUGUUCUAAAAAGCCUAGUUCUAGAGCUUCCCUGGGAUCAUUCUGUGGUGGGCCUUGGGGUAUGGGCUGCUGGCCCCUUGUUCAGUGAUCUGGCUUCUAAACUUGGUUCUUUCCCCAUAUCUUAUCAAGAGAGGAAAGGAUGUACCUAAUUGCUUCUUUCAGGCACAGGUUGAGAUAAUCCCCAUUCCCUGGUGCUCCUUCAGCCUACUGGUGAGUGGAGAGCAGGCUAAGAAAGGUAUACACUUAAUCCUUACCCAUGUGGGAAAAAGGGACAGAGGGAGGAAGAAAACUUGAACCUGAGCUGAGAAGGGAUGGCCAAUGCUGGCAGAGGUAAAAUGUCCCCAUGCACACCUUCUUCUCCGAGAGGAUUGCCUGUGCUAAAUAUAAAGAGUUCAGGGCACGGGUCAUGGGGAUGGUAAGGGGACCAGUGGGCUGACAGUCUGCAUCCAUGUGGGCACUGUCCAUCUAUCUGUAAGCUUUGACCCACCCUCUCCAAGCCACAGUCUCUGUCCUUUGCCCUCUUAGUUCCCUCCUCCUAACUGGGCUGCCUCUUGCUCUCUUUCUCCCUGAGGCUAUGACAAUGGCAGGGUACCCAGCCAUGGCAUGGACGUCAGCCUCAGUUUCCGGUUCUCAGCAAGUGUAUGAGUGUGAGUGUGUGUGUAAGGGCUCGGGCUGGGGUCAUCCACAGAGCACAGAAGUAGAGAGCUUCUGAGGGUGGGGCCGCCUGUCGGUCACACCCUACACCCUGGAGCCCUGAGGACCUGUCACUCAGACCCACCACCAGCCUCAACACCAUGAACAGCCAAAGCAGCAUCAGUCACUGACCAGAGGAGCCCAGACGCCACAGGAGUAAGUUAAGCCCUGGAGGGACUGGGUGUGGCUGAGCUCAGUGAAGGGCAAGUAAAGCCAGGAACCCUCAGAAAGAGCAGGAAGCAUAGAGCAGAAAAGAGGAAACAGCAGAGCUUUCUCUGGUCCUCCCCUUGUUCAGUGCACAAUAUCCACACCCCUUUCCCUUGGGACUGAAAUCUGGGGGGCGGGGGGCACUGCAGAAGCUGGAGAGAACUGGUAGAGCAGCAAAGAGUGUGAGGAUUGGAGGGAAGUAUGACCAAUGGAGUCUCUCUAAAAGUUCAUGGUUGGUAGUCAUACAAUGCCCAAAGGCAGGGACAGGGGAAGCCCAAACUCAGUGGUCAUGUGGGGACUGCUGAGGAAACUUGUAGAACCUCAGCUGGCCAUGCGAUGAGGGACAGAGAUAGCGAAUGGGGGGAGGGGUGAUUUGGACAAGAAACAAACCCUGCUUUCACUUACAGGUGCUCGCAAUGGCCAGUACCUUGAAGACACUCUGGAAUAAAUACAUCUGGGCCUUUGAAAAUGGAGACCCAAGGAUGGAUUCCCGGCUCCUCGUACACUUGCCACUCCCUGUCAUUCUUCUUUCUGUCUUCUAUCUUUCGGUGGUGGCAAGUCCUUGCUUCAUGUCUGGAUGGGAGUGUCUGAGGUUUGCAGGAUCCCUCGCUGCCUAUAGCCCAGGCCUGGUGGCCCUCUCAGGGUACAUAUUCUAUGAGGCCACCCUCUGCACUGCUGACAGAAUGAUCAUCCCAGACACCUACGCACCAAAAGGAACUGCUGACCCUAUGAAGGCUUCCCAGCAGCAGGGACAAGACGACCUGGAAAUCUGCGUGCUCAUUAAGAUUACAUGGCUACAGGCUACAACACCUUUGGAGAGUCCUUCUGUUAACACUCUCAGUAGCUUCUCCCCAUUUCCCUGUGCUCACAAGCAUCUUCCUGCAGACAGGUCUUCUUCAUAUUACGAAAGAAGCCAGAGCACAUCACCUUUCUGCAUGUCUGCCAUGUUCUUCAAACAGUGGGCUGGGGCCAGAUAUGUGUCAUAUGGUCAAGAGCUUCCUACCACCCUUGGGCAGGGGACUGUGGGAGAUUCUCAGAGCCAUCUGCCUUGACAGUACAGAGGGAGUUAUAAGCACUCUCGUUUGGCAUCCUGUCAGCCCCAACCCACCAUGAUGGCCUCAAACUGCUCGUGCCAGACCUCCUCAUGAUAGGACCUUCCCAAGGACUUUUUCUGUGAGCCUCCUUUGUCAGGAUGCUGAAUGCUUUGGUCCCCGUCUUCACAUGCCUGUACUAUGGACUGGCCAGUCUGGGGCCCUGUGUGUAGCUCUACCUGUGGUGGAAGUGACAUUUAACCAUCCUUCAGGGUCAGUUGCCACCGUUGCCCACUCCUCCUACAGCCACUUCACUGAGUGCUCCUUCCCUGAUGGGUUCAACAUGGCGGUCCUCCUCUGCAGCCUCAGCGUCAUCAGCCUUUUCCUCAACUGCCACCACCAGA